UAUUCCCGCCCGCCUGCGCCUAGUCCGCGAGACAGGGCAGACUGCCCUAUAGAAAACUAGCGAGUAGUAGCGGAGUGGCGUUGCAGUUUCGAGAUGUUUCGCAACACAGUGGUUUUGCGAACGCAUCCGCCGUCGAACUUAUCCUCGCCCUUCCUGCUACGCCAGCUCUCCCUCCUCCGCCGCCCCGAUCCGUCUCCGACUCCGUCUUCUCUCGCUGUCGACGUCGAAAUACUCUGCUGGAAGAUCUGUCGCCGGUGGCGCCUCGCGUGUUUCCUUCAGCCUCCCGACGUCUUCCUUAUCUACCAGAGGGCUCAAUACGAGUCUGUUGAUCGUGCAUUGGAAGAGCUUCUCCGGGCAAUGCCGGAUUUCACUAUUGGGCUGGAAGAAGAGGUAGCAUCAGCGGCAUUGGUUGCAAAAGCAGUCGAGAUCUGGUUGAGGAUUCUCAUGAUGGAGCAUAAAUGGACAUGUGUUGGCGACUGUACAUUUGUAGAUUCAACAUUUGCGGGAACAGAAGAGAGAAGCAAUGUUUGUGCCCUUAAUUUGAGGGUACAACCAGAGAUGGGGGAUGACUUGGUUUUCCUUGUGUCACCUGAAGUGGUUAGGUUCAACAGAUGCAAGGUAACAGAUUUAGUUAAUUCUAAAGCAUGGGAGAGAUUUGUCAAUGGUGUUCAAGUACUGCUCGAAGAUUGUGAUUUAUUACGGGCCUGUACCAUUAUUCCUUCAUUAUACCAAGCGUAUAUAAUUGGAGUUUGUAAACUACUUCCAGAUAAUGAAAGUUUUGAGAAGCUGACAUGUCUUUGGUCAUUAAAGCAUGGUCUAGAAUUAAAGAGUGAUUACUUCAUUUGCGUUCAACUCAGACAUGGAAGCCAUCCAAAUAAAUGGUUCCCAUCAGCUUAUAUUCUUCAAGAUCCUGUGUUUUCUCCAGCCCUGAAUAGUAUUAGAAGCUUAAAAGCUCUGGAUGCUCUAGAAUCAUUCGUGAAACUAAUUGAAGCUUGGAAUUUCUUCAGCCUGGGACAGCUUAAAGUCAAGGAAGUGUCAACACUUGGUACUGGAACAAAUAUACCCUCCUGGAUAAAGGCUACAAAUCAUUUGGCAUGUCAUAUUUUAAAAAAGGACACUUCUUAUAGUGAGGAAUUCGUAAAAAAAUAUUUGAUUUGCAGGGACCUAAAGUCAUCGUUAGACUUCCACACUCCCAAGCCUUCAAUAUGUGGCACUAGAGAGUUGCAGCACAAAUAUGUCCAAAAGAAUUCUACAGUUAUAUGCAGGAGUAGUCUAGGCACCAGGAAAGACUAUACUGGAAAUAUUGGCAAUAUAUGUUCAACUACUGAUAGUGUACCAGCAGCAGUCAUGAAAGUUCCACCUUCUGCUUCCAUUGAUUCAGCUGUUACUCCAGAGAAGCCUCGGCAACCUACAUUCGGAAAAAGGAAAAUGGUUAAAGUUCAGAAAGGCAUAAUCUCCUCAAGUCAGAUGACUCAUAGUUUUCUUGCUGAAGAAAAGCACAUUUCUGCUGGAUCUGGCGUAAGCAAAGAUCCUCCUCAAAGAUCAAAACAACUUGGUAACAAGAAAGAAAAAACUAUAGUUCCUGGAACUAAAUCUCUAGAAAAAUCUGGAAAAGAGGUAGCAGUAGAGAUUUCUCAAAAGAAGGCUCGUAACAAUGAGAAGAAGAAAGAUAACUUAGCAGAAGACUCCAAGACAAGGCCCAAACAAUGUACAGACCAAUCUGCCAUAAGUGAAAAGGUUGCAAAUUGUUAUAUCAGAGGGGAGCUACAAUCCCUCACUGUAGCGGACCUGAAAUGCUUCCUUGCAUUUAAAAGGGCCAAAGUAGGAGGAAAGAAGGAAGAGCUCGUCAAACGAGUUGCUUCCUUGCUUACCUGACUGAAGAAGUGACAUCCAUCACUAUUGUUUGGGAUAAAUGGUUGGAGAUGAAGCAAAUGUUGUGCGCCAAGUGAGUUUUAAAUCUGGUGACUGAAUGCUUAUUCUUUGCGAGCUACAUGAGACGAAUGGAUAGUGAGCGGCCAAGCAAAUUGGGUGAAGCAAACAACAUAGGUGGUAGACACUGGAUUUUUAUUUUUCAAUUUUGAUCAUUGAAUCUCAUCCUUCAACUUUUUGGAUUUUGAUGGUGACUUUUUGUUUAAAUAGCCUAUACCUAUUAGAUAUUUCCUUUGGUGAUUGUCUUUUAAAUAGCACAACGAGCAAAGGAAGAAUUCUACAACCUACUUUAUUGUAAUAAAAAUCAUCAUAUUAAAAUAAUUUGGCGAUAAGUAAAUCAAAGUAGAGGCAGACAGUGCAGUUGU